rnacentral:rRNA from 1 species
CCUACGGGAGGCAGCAGUGGGGAAUAUUGGACAAUGGGGGGAACCCUGAUCCAGCCAUGCCGCGUGUGUGAAGAAGGCCCUCGGGUUGUAAAGCACUUUCAGUGAGGAAGAACGCCUGGUGGUUAAUACCCAUCAGGAAAGACAUCACUCACAGAAGAAGCACCGGCUAACUCCGUGCCAGCAGCCGCGGUAAUACGGAGGGUGCGAGCGUUAAUCGGAAUUACUGGGCGUAAAGCGCGCGUAGGUGGCUUGAUAAGCCGGUUGUGAAAGCCCCGGGCUCAACCUGGGAACGGCAUCCGGAACUGUCAAGCUAGAGUGCAGGAGAGGAAGGUAGAAUUCCCGGUGUAGCGGUGAAAUGCGUAGAGAUCGGGAGGAAUACCAGUGGCGAAGGCGGCCUUCUGGACUGACACUGACACUGAGGUGCGAAAGCGUGGGUAGCAAACAGGAUUAGAUACCCGAGUAGUA